rnacentral:rRNA from 1 species
UACGGAGGAUGCGAGCGCUAUCCGGAUUUAUUGGGUUUAAAGGGUGCGCAGGCGGUCUGUUAAGUCAGCGGUCAAAGCCCGGGGCUCAACCCCGGCCCGCCGUUGAAACUGGCAGUCUCGAGUUGGAGAGAAGUAUGCGGAAUGCGCGGUGUAGCGGUGAAAUGCGUAGAUAUUAGGAGGAACACCAGUGGCGAAGGCGGCCUGCUGGGCUUUUACUGACGCUGAGGCUCGAAAGUGUGGGGAGCAAACAGG